rnacentral:rRNA from 1 species
GUGGGGAAUAUUGCGCAAUGGGGGAAACCCUGACGCAGCAACGCCGCGUGAGUGAGGAAGUAUUUCGGUAUGUAAAGCUCUAUCAGCGGGGACGAAGAUGACGGUACCCGCAGAAGAAGUCCCGGCUAACUACGUGCCAGCAGCCGCGGUAAUACGUAGGGGACAAGCGUUAUCCGGAUUUACUGGGUGUAAAGGGAGCGUAGGCGGCAAAGCAAGUCAGAAGUGAAAGCCCGCGGCUCAACUGCGGGACUGCUUUUGAAACUGUUUAGCUAGAGUACUGGAGGGGCAAGCGGAAUUCCUGGUGUAGCGGUGAAAUGCGUAGAUAUCAGGAAGAACACCGGAGGCGAAGGCGGCUUGCUGGACAGAUACUGACGCUGAGGCUCGAAGGCGUGGGGAGCAAACAGG